UACGUAGGUGGCAAGCGUUGUCCGGAAUUAUUGGGCGUAAAGCGCGCGCAGGCGGCCUCUUAAGUCUGAUGUGAAAGCCCCCGGCUCAACCGGGGAGGCCAUUGGAAACUGGGAGGCUUGAGUAUAGGAGAGAAGAGUGGAAUUCCACGUGUAGCGGUGAAAUGCGUAGAGAAUGUGGAGGAACACCAGUGGCGAAGGCGACUCUUUGGCCUAUAACUGACGCUGAGGCGCGAAAGCGUGGGGAGCAAAC
rnacentral:rRNA from 1 species